UACGAAGGGGGCUAGCGUUGUCCGGAAUUACUGGGCGUAAAGCGCGCGCAGGCGGUUCUCCAAGUCAGUGGUGAAAGCCCGGAGCUCAACUCCGGAAUUGCCAUUGAAACUGUUGAACUCGAGGACGAGAGAGGUGAGUGGAAUUCCCAGUGUAGAGGUGAAAUUCGUAGAUAUUGGGAAGAACACCGGUGGCGAAGGCGGCUCACUGGCUCGUUUCUGACGCUCAGGCGCGACAGCGUGGGGAUCAAACAGG
rnacentral:rRNA from 1 species